UUGGUUAAGUUAGAAAGGGCGCACGGUGGAUGCCUUGGCACUAGGAGCCGAAGAAGGACGGGACUAACACCGAUAUGCUUUGGGGAGCUGUACGUAAGCGUUGAUCCAGAGAUUUCCGAAUGGGGGAACCCACUAUCUUUAGUCGGAUAGUAUCCUUACGUGAAUACAUAGCGUGAGGAAGGCAGACCCAGGGAACUGAAACAUCUAAGUACCUGGAGGAAGAGAAAGAAAAAUCGAUUUCCUGAGUAGCGGCGAGCGAAACGGAAAGAGCCCAAACCAAGAAGCUUGCUUCUUGGGGUUGUAGGACACUCUAUACGGAGUUACAAAAGAAAGUUAUAAAUGAAGCGGUCUGGAAAGGCCCGCCAAAGACGGUAACAGCCCGGUAGUUGAAAUGGCUUUCCCUCCAGAGUGGAUCCUGAGUACGGCGGAACACGUGAAAUUCCGUCGGAAUCCGGGAGGACCAUCUCCCAAGGCUAAAUACUCCCUAGUGACCGAUAGUGAACCAGUACCGUGAGGGAAAGGUGAAAAGCACCCCGGAAGGGGAGUGAAACAGUUCCUGAAACCGUGUGCCUACAAGUAGUUAGAGCCCGUUAAUGGGUGAUAGCGUGCCUUUUGUAGAAUGAACCGGCGAGUUACGAUUUGUUGCAAGGUUAAGCGGAAAAAGCGGAGCCGUAGCGAAAGCGAGUCUGAAUAGGGCGCAUAAGUAACAGGUCGUAGACCCGAAACCAGGUGAUCUACCCAUGUCCAGGAUGAAGGUAAGGUAAUACUUACUGGAGGUCCGAACCCACGCACGUUGAAAAGUGCGGGGAUGAGGUGUGGGUAGCGGAGAAAUUCCAAUCGAACUUGGAGAUAGCUGGUUCUCUCCGAAAUAGCUUUAGGGCUAGCCUCGAGGUAAAGAGUCAUGGAGGUAGAGCACUGUUUGGACUAGGGGCCCUUCUCGGGUUACCGAAUUCAGAUAAACUCCGAAUGCCAUGUACUUAUACUCGGGAGUCAGACUGCGAGUGAUAAGAUCCGUAGUCGAAAGGGAAACAGCCCAGACCACCAGUUAAGGUCCCCAAAUAUAUGUUAAGUGGAAAAGGAUGUGGGGUUGCUUAGACAACCAGGAUGUUGGCUUAGAAGCAGCCACCAUUGAAAGAGUGCGUAAUAGCUCACUGGUCGAGUGACCCCGCGCCGAAAAUGUACCGGGGCUAAACAUAUUACCGAAACUGUGGAUGAACCUCUUUAGAGGUUCGUGGUAGGAGAGCGUUCUAAGGGCGGUGAAGUCAGACCGGAAGGACUGGUGGAGCGCUUAGAAGUGAGAAUGCCGGUAUGAGUAGCGAAAGAAGGGUGAGAAUCCCUUCCACCGAAUAUCUAAGGUUUCCUGAGGAAGGCUCGUCCGCUCAGGGUUAGUCGGGACCUAAGCCGAGGCCGAUAGGCGUAGGCGAUGGACAACAGGUAGAGAUUCCUGUACCAGUGCUAAUUGUUUAACCGAUGGGGUGACACAGAAGGAUAGGGAAUCGCACGAAUGGAAAUGUGCGUCCAAGCAGUGAGUGUGAGAAGUAGGCAAAUCCGCUUCUCGCGAAGCAUGAGCUGUGAUGGGGAAGGAAAUUAAGUACGGAAGUUCCUGAUUUCACGCUGUCAAGAAAAGCCUCUAGGAAGAGUAGUACUGCCCGUACCGCAAACCGACACAGGUAGAUGAGGAGAGAAUCCUAAGGUGAGCGAGAGAACUCUCGUUAAGGAACUCGGCAAAAUGACCCCGUAACUUCGGGAGAAGGGGUGCUCUAUUAGGGUGCAAGCCCGAGAGAGCCGCAGUGAAUAGGCCCAGGCGACUGUUUAGCAAAAACACAGGUCUCUGCAAAACCGUAAGGUGACGUAUAGGGGCUGACGCCUGCCCGGUGCUGGAAGGUUAAGAGGAGUGCUUAGCUUCGGCGAAGGUACGAAUUGAAGCCCCAGUAAACGGCGGCCGUAACUAUAACGGUCCUAAGGUAGCGAAAUUCCUUGUCGGGUAAGUUCCGACCCGCACGAAAGGCGCAACGAUCUGGGCACUGUCUCAACGAGAGACUCGGUGAAAUUAUAGUACCUGUGAAGAUGCAGGUUACCCGCGACAGGACGGAAAGACCCCGUGGAGCUUUACUGCAACCUGAUAUGGAAUGUUUGUACCGCUUGUACAGGAUAGGUAGGAGCCGAAGAGACGUGUGCGCUAGCAUACGAGGAGGCAAUGG
rnacentral:rRNA from 1 species